rnacentral:rRNA from 1 species
UACGAAGGGGGCGAGCGUUGUUCGGAUUUACUGGGCGUAAAGGGCGCGCAGGCGGUCGUUCAAGUCGCGUGUGAAAGCCCCCCGGCUCAACUGGGGAGGGUCACGCGAUACUGAUCGACUGGAAGGCAGGAGAGGGUAGUGGAAUUCCCGGUGUAGUGGUGAAAUGCGUAGAUAUCGGGAGGAACACCAGUGGCGAAGGCGACUACCUGGCCUGUUCUUGACGCUGAGGCGCGAAAGCUAGGGGAGCAAACGGG